rnacentral:rRNA from 1 species
GACGGUGUCAACGAGUCUGACCUUCUGGCCCGAAAGGGUUGGGCAAACUGGUCAAUCACCGUCAUGACAGGGAUCGGGGCUUGGAAUUGUUCCCCGUGAACGAGGAAUUCCUAGUAAGUGCAAGUCAUAAGCUUGCGCUGAUUACGUCCCUGCCCUUUGUACACACCGCCCGUCGCUACUACCGAUUGAAUGGUUUAGUAAGGUCCUUGGAUUGGCGCCAUUGUGGUGGCUUCCGAAAGGUGGCUACCCGACAGGUGCUGAGAAGACGACCAAAC